GUCUGGGGAUCUGCCCGGUAGAGGGGGAUAACCACUGGAAACUUGUGGCUAAUACCGCAUAAUGUCGCAAGACCAAAGUGGGGGACCUUCGGGCCUCACACUACCGGAUGAACCCAGAUGGGAUUAGCUAGUUGGUGGGGUAACGGCUCACCAAGGCGACGAUCCCUAGCUGGUCUGAGAGGAUGACCAGCCACACUGGAACUGAGACACGGUCCAGACUCCUACGGGAGGCAGCAGUGGGGAAUAUUGCACAAUGGGCGCAAGCCUGAUGCAGCCAUGCCGCGUGUAUGAAGAAGGCCUUCGGGUUGUAAAGUACUUUCAGCGGGGAGGAAGGGAGUGAGGUUAAUAACUUCAUUCAUUGACGUUACCCGCAGAAGAAGCACCGGCUAACUCCGUGCCAGCAGCCGCGGUAAUACGGAGGGUGCAAGCGUUAAUCGGAAUUACUGGGCGUAAAGCGCACGCAGGCGGUCUGUUAAGUCAGAUGUGAAAUCCCCGGGCUCAACCCGGGAACUGCAUUUGAAACUGGCAGGCUUGAGUCUCGUAGAGGGGGGUGGAAUUCCAGGUGUAGCGGUGAAAUGCGUAGAGAUCUGGAGGAAUACCGGUGGCGAAGGCGGCCCCCUGGACGAAGACUGACGCUCAGGUGCGAAAGCGUGGGGGAGCAA
rnacentral:rRNA from 1 species